GUGAACGCUGGCGGUAGGCCUAACACAUGCAGGUCGAACGGCAGCACAGUAAGAGCUUGCUCUUACGGGUGGCGAGUGGCGGACGGGUGAGGAAUACAUCGGAAUCUACUUUUUCGUGGGGGAUAACGUAGGGAAACUUACGCUAAUACCGCAUACGACCUACGGGUGAAAGCAGGGGAUCUUCGGACCUUGCGCGAAUGAAUGAGCCGAUGUCGGAUUAGCUAGUUGGCGGGGUAAAGGCCCACCAAGGCGACGAUCCGUAGCUGGUCUGAGAGGAUGAUCAGCCACACUGGAACUGAGACACGGUCCAGACUCCUACGGGAGGCAGCAGUGGGGAAUAUUGGACAAUGGGCGCAAGCCUGAUCCAGCCAUACCGCGUGGGUGAAGAAGGCCUUCGGGUUGUAAAGCCCUUUUGUUGGGAAAGAAAAGCAGCAGGUUAAUACCCCGCUGUUCUGACGGUACCCAAAGAAUAAGCACCGGCUAACUUCGUG
rnacentral:rRNA from 1 species